AGGCUCUAGGCGGGAUUGUAUACUCCCACCCAUGUGACUUACCUUUUGUUGCCUCGGCAGAAGUUAUAGGUCUUCUUAUAGCUGCUGCCGGUGGACCAUUAAACUCUUGUUAUUUUAUGUAAUCUGAGCGUCUUAUUUUAAUAAGUCAAAACUUUCAACAACGGAUCUCUUGGUUCUGGCAUCGAUGAAGAACGCAGCGAAAUGCGAUAAGUAAUGUGAAUUGCAGAAUUCAGUGAAUCAUCGAAUCUUUGAACGCACAUUGCGCCCAUUAGUAUUCUAGUGGGCAUGCCUGUUCGAGCGUCAUUUCAACCCUUAAGCCUAGCUUAGUGUUGGGAAUCUACUUCUCUUAGGAGUUGUAGUUCCUGAAAUACAACGGCGGAUUUGUAGUAUCCUCUGAGCGUAGUAAUUUUUUUCUCGCUUUUGUUAGGUGCUAUAACUCCCAGCCGCUAAACCCCCAAUUUUUUGUGGUUGACCUCGGAUCAGGUAGGAAUACCCGCUGAACUUAAGCAUAUCAAUAAGCGGAGGAA
rnacentral:rRNA from 1 species